GACGAACGCUGGCGGCGUGCUUAACACAUGCAAGUCGAGCGAGGUCCAUCCGGUGGCAACACCGGGGACGGCCUAGCGGCGAACGGGUGAGUAACACGUCAGCAACCUGCCCCGAAGACUGGGAUAACACCGGGAAACCGGAUCUACUACUGGAUGCCAUCAUCUGGCCGCAUGGCAGUAGGAGGAGAUGGAUCCGGCUGCGGGAGGGGCUCGCGGGCUAUCAGCUUGUUGGGGAGGUAACGGCUCAGCAAGGCGACGCCGGCUAGGUGGUCUGAGAGGACGACCAGCCACACUGGGACUGAGACACGACCCAGACUCCUACGGGAGGCAGCAGUGAGGAAUCUUGCGCAAUGAGCGAAAGCCUGACGCAGCACCGCCGCGUGGGGGAUGAAGGCGCUCGGGUUGUAAACCCCUUUCAGCAGGGACGAAUUUGACGGUACCUGCAGAAGAAGCCCCGGCCAACUACGUGCCAGCCGCCGCAGUAACAC
rnacentral:rRNA from 1 species